GGAUCCCACCGUAUCCACCAGG
rnacentral:misc_RNA from 1 species